rnacentral:piRNA from 1 species
UGAGAGGUGCUAUCCCUGAGUCUCAGUGC